rnacentral:lncRNA from 1 species
CCAGGAUAUUGCUGCAAAGGUAUGCUGGGGAGGGUGGAUUCUGGCUCCCACACUUUAGAGAGCUCUGCAAGGUGAGGUCAGUCCCCGCCUGCCAAUGAAGCGACUCCUAAUUACUCAGGAAUGCUCAGCCUGGGCUGGCUGGCACACAGGGCAAUAAAUCUUAGUGGAAAGACCAGACACCUGGUUUUCAGAUCAGGAUGAAUUUUCUAGGUCUAGUUAAAUUAAUUGUCUUGUUUCUCAAUCUUCACACAAUCUUUGGAGAACAAGUACAACCUAAAUUAUGAGACCAGGCAUUGAUUUGUGCUUAGCUUUCCUCAGUGGACUGGAGGCGACUGGGGGUUUACAAAGCAAAGCAAGCUAUUGUUAAUGAGAAUACAAUGUAUAUGUGCAAUCACUCCCAUUAUUUACAAUGAUAUCUGAUGGAGCUUACUGUACGUGAUUCUUACAUCCUCCCAUGUGGUGGGUAAACGAUAAAUAGAAGAGAGAAGCUGCAGGGCACAGAGCUGCUCCACUCUCAUCAAGAAACACCUUCAGUCGAGGAGACAGAGAACACCAGAUAAUGUUGGCUUGUUUGCAGGGGUGAUAUUUUUCCCAGUUACUGUCGCUUUCUCUCUGUAGACUUCCUCUUGUCUUAUUGACCAGAAUUAGGACACACGGCCAGUCCUAGCUGCGAAGAAAGCUUGGAAAUUGGAGGGUAAGAUUAUUAUAAGCACUUGGACCAGUCAUGAUCCAUGACCAGGAACUGGGCCCACUGCCACCCACACAAAGUCAUGGUUCCAUCAGCAAGAGAGAAGGGGGAAAUUAGUCAACAAAAGAUGCAGGGCUUACUUGACUAUAACCUACAGAAGAUGGUUUCUCCGGUUAAAGGCAUAUGGACUCAACAUGUCACCGGAAGGAAAACACCAGCUGGUCUUACAGCUCUUGAACGGGCAGCUCACCCAGAGACACCACGCUGCAGGGCUUCUCUGCACCAACGUUCUUUCAGGGCCUGUGGAGAAAAUAUGGACGUUAGCAGUCAGAAAACAUGCUCGGGACACAGCAUUCGUGGCCGAGCUUCCCACAGCAGUGUGUAUGAACACCGCAGCUCCUCAUGGAACAAUUCUGUCCUCACCAAGCAACAUGAGACAACAAGGAAACACUUUCUGCCCCAGAAAUGUCCUUCCAUCACUUCCAGUUAAAAAUCACAUUUCUCCAAGAUUCUACCCACUCCCAUACACCUCAGCCUGGCUAAGGAAAUGAUUGGAAACUUAAAUCUGAGAGAAAAAGCUGACAUUUUACGAUAACGGGGAAAAGUUAUCCUCAAAUACUGCCUGUGGUAUUAAAAAUGGAAUUCAGAUAAGCUUCUUU